rnacentral:tRNA from 1 species
UAAUGAUGUGCCUGAAAAAAGGGUAAUUUUGAUAGAAUUAAUUAUGUGAAAUCCACCUUCAUUAGACCCCAAA